UACGGAAGGCAGCAGUGGGGAAUAUUGCACAAUGGGCGCAAGCCUGAUGCAGCCAUGCCGCGUGUAUGAAGAAGGCCUUCGGGUUGUAAAGUACUUUCAGUCGUGAGGAAGGUGUUAAGGUUAAUAACCUUAGCAAUUGACGUUAGCGACAGAAGAAGCACCGGCUAACUCCGUGCCAGCAGCCGCGGUAAUACGGAGGGUGCGAGCGUUAAUCGGAAUUACUGGGCGUAAAGGGCACGCAGGCGGUUAAUUAAGUUGGAUGUGAAAUCCCCGGGCUUAACCUGGGAAUGGCAUUCAAGACUGGUUAGCUAGAGUCUUGUAGAGGGGGUAGAAUUCCAUGUGUAGCGGUGAAAUGCGUAGAGAUGUGGAGGAAUACCGGUGGGCGAAAGGCGGCCCCUGGGACAAAGACUGACGCUCAUGUGCGAAAGCGUGGGGAGCAAAACAGGGAUUAGAUACC
rnacentral:rRNA from 1 species